AUCAUGGUCAGCUUGGGAUGGAAGAAGAUGACGACAUUUUUAAGACCGUUGCUGCAUUGCCUGAGAUGAUUUUCACAGCCCUGGCCUUUGAUAAAAGUGCAUAUACAUGUAGAUGCUUAACCAAUCAGUCACUAGGCUUGUGAAUAUGGAAUCCGGAUGCUCACAAGAGUUAGGACAAGAACUGUAUAAAAAAAAUGAAAUUGUGCAAGGGAAGUUUGAAGUGUCUGUUUGAAUGAUCAACAUCGAACUUGCUGAGCCUUCGUACUAAAAGUGAAUCUGUUGGUGAUGCCAAAUAUCUGUCAACCCUCUAUUGCAAAUUUCAUGGGAUAUCUGUGAGGAUGUGAUUCUAGCAACAUGUCAGAAGUUUUGUAUCUUCCAUAAUUGGGAUCUUUGGCAUGUACAUUGGUGGAAAAUAGCAACUGUUCAUUUUUGUGGGAUCUUUGUAUCAAUGUAGUUGUGUACUACAUAUAUUUUUGCAUUUAAUACAUGUGUUUGUCACUCUAGUCACUAAUUUUGUACAGUAAAUGUACAUGGGCCUCUGGCACUUUAUUGUAAAUGUAUAUCCUGUUGAGGUUUCAAUGACCUCUCCCAAUCCUUGGCCAAUGUCAUUUAAUGAAUCUAACCUCUUAUUUAAAAAAAAAUGCAUACUUUAGUUUACUGCAUUACAUGUAUAUCAUAACUUGAUUAUCAUUAAUUUA